GAGGCUGCGCGGGCAGGGGACCGAGGUCUGCAGGCAAACUGCGCGGCUCGACCGGCGGCAAUCGAGACCUAGACCUCGGUCAGCGCCCCGCCGCCCCUCUGCGUGCGACUUGGUGAGGCCGGUGGGUGCGCGUCGAGAGGGCCGAGGGACGAGCGGAAGAGAAGCUGCUGCGAACUCGGGCCACCCAGAUGGCCCGGCGGAGUUCCCUGCGUAAGGCGCGGCCUCGGCCACUUCGCCGAGGACCCCGGGAAGGGUCGAGCUUCCCACGCCUGAGAACCCACCUUUGGGCAUUUCCUCGCGCUGCCGGGGUGCAGACGCCGGGAGCUUCCGGGUGCCUCUCCCGCUGACCCCCGCAUCACAGUUACCUGGAGGACUCACCAAACCACAGAGAUGGGGUUUCUACAAAAAAACAGCCUGCCCAUGUUGCCCAGGCUGGUCUUGAACUCCUGGCCUCAAGUGAUCCUCCUGCCUUGGCCUCCCAAAGUGCUGGGAUUACAGGUGGGAACCAUGGUGCCUGGCCCUUUUGUCCUUUUUAAACUCAGAUUAUUAUAAUUUUUCCUAUUAAGUUGUUCAUGCUCCUUAUAUAUACUGGUUAUUAAUCCCUUGUCAGAUGGAUAGUUUGCAAAUAUUUUAUUCCCAUUCUGUGGAUUGUCUCUUUGUUGAUUGUUUCCUUUGCGGUGCAGAAGCUUUUUAUCUUGAUGUGGUCACAUUUAUCCAUAUUUGCUUUGGAUGCCUGUGCUUUCAGGGUAUUACUCAGCAACUCUUUUGCCCAGCCCAAUGUCCUGGAGAGCUUCCUCAAUGUUUUCUUUUAGUAGUUUCAUAGUUUCAGAUCUUAGAUUUAAGUCUUUAAUCCGUUUUGAUUUGAUUUGUGUGUAUGGUGAGAGAUAGAGGUCUACUUUCAUUCUUCUGCAUAUGGCUAUCCAGUUUUCCCAGCACCAUUCAUUAAACAGACCGUCCUUUCUCCAAUGUGUAUUCUUGGCACCUUUGUCGAAAAUGACUGCAGAUAUAUGGAGUUGUUUCUGGGUUCUCUAUUCUGUUCCAUUGUUUUUUUUUUUUUUUGAAAUGGAGUCAGCCUCUGUCACCCAGGCUGGAGUGCAGUGGCAAGAUCUCGGCCCACUUUUACCUCCACCUCUUGGGUUCAAGCGAUUCUUCUUCCUCAGCCUCUCAAGUAGCUGAGAUUACAAGUGCGUGCCACCAUGCCUGACUAAGUUUAGUAUUUUUAGUAGAGACAUGGUUUCACCAUGUUGGCCAGACUUGUCUCGAACUCCCGGCCUCAAGUGCCGCCUCGGCCUUCCAAAAGUGCUCAAAGUGCUGGGAAUACUGGUGUGAGCCACCAUGCCCAGCUAAUUUUUGUACUUUUAGUAGAGACAGGGUUUCACCAUGUUGGCCAAGCUGAUCUCAAACUGACAUCAAGGGAUCCACACGCCUCGGCCUCCUAAAAUGCUUGCAUUACAGGCAUGAGCCACUGUGCCUGGGCCCUCUUCCACUGGUCUUUAUGUCUGUUUUUAUGCCAAUACCAUGUCAUUUUGGUCGCUAUAGCUCUGUAGUAUAAUUUGAAGCCUGGUAAUGUGAUUCGUCCAGUUUUGUUCUUUUUACCCAGGAUAGCUUUGGCUAUUCUGAGUCUUUUGUGGUUCUAUAUAAAUUUUAGGAUUUUUUUUUCUAUUUAUGUGAAGAAUGUCAUAGGUAUUUUGAUAGAGAUUGCAUUUAAUCUGUAGAUUGCUUUGGGAAAUAUGGACGGUUUAACAAUAUGGAUACUUCCAAUCUGUGAACAUGGAAUACCUUUCCAUUUUUUUGUGUCCUCAUUAAUUUCGUAUAGUUUUCACUGUAGAGAUCUUUCACUUCUUUGGUUAAUUUCUGGGUAAUUAAUUUUAUUUCUAGGUAUUGUAAAUGGAAUUACUUCCUUGAUUUCUUUUUCAGAUUGUUCACUGUCGGCAAUAGAACUGCUACUGAUUUUUAUGUGUUGAUUUUGUAUCUGCAACUUUACUGAAUUUGUUUAUCAGAUCUAAUAGUUUUUUGGUGGAGUCUUUAGGUUUUUCCAAAGAUAAGAUCACAUCAUCUGAAAAGGAUAAUUUGACUUCUUCGUUUCCGAUUUGGAUGCCCUUUAUUUCUUUCUCUUGUCUGAUUGCUCUAGCUAGAACUUCUGGUACUAUGGUGAAUAACAGUGGUGAAAGUGGGCAUCUUUGUCAUGUCCCAGGUAUGAGAGGAAAGGCUUUAAAUUUUUCCUCAUUCAGUAUGAUACUUACUAGCUGUGGAUCUAUUGUAUAUAGAUUUUAUUAUGUUGAGUUUUAUACCCAGUUUUUUUAGGGUUUUUAUCAUCAAGGGAUGUUGAAUUUCAUCAAAUGCUUUUUCAGCAUCAAUUAAAAAGAUCAUAUGGUGUUUGUCCUUCAUUCUGUUGAUAUGAUGUAUCACAUUGUUUUGCAUAUGAUGAAUCAUUCUUGCAUCUGAGAUAAAUCCCUCUUAGUCAUGAUGAAUGAUCUUUUUAAUGUGUUUUUGAAUGCACUUUGCUAGUAUUCUGUUGAGGAUUUUUGCAUCAGUAUUCAUCAGUGAUAUUGGCCUGCAGUUAAUUUUUUAUUUUUAUGUAUUUAUUUAUUUUGAUGUGUCUACCUGGUUUUGGUAACCGGGUAAUACUGGCCUCAUAGAGUGAGUUUGCAAAUAUUCCCUCCUCUUCUGUUUUUCAGAAUAGUUUGAGUAGGAUUGGUAUUAGUUCUUCUCUAAAUGUUUGGCAGAACUCAGCAGUGAAGUCAUUGGGUCCCAGGCUUUUCUUUGCUGGAAGAUUUUUUUAUUAUGGCUUUGAUCUCAUUACUUGUUAUUGAUCUGCUCAGUUUUUGGAUUUCUUCAUGGUUAAAUUCUGGUAGGUUGUAUGUGUCUAGGAAUUUAUUCAUUUCUUCUAGAUUUUUCAAUUUAUUGGCAUAUAGUUGCUCAUAGUAGCCACUAAUGAUGCUUUGAAUUUCUGCAGUAUUAGUUAUAAUGUCUCCUUUUUUGUCUUUGAUUUUAUUUAUGUGGGUCUUCUCUCUUUUUUCCUCAGUCUGGCUAAAGGUUUGUCAAUUUUAUCUUUUCAAAAACCAACGUUUUGUUUCAUUGAUCUUGUUUAUUGUUUUCCUCGUUUCAAUUCCAUUGAUCUCUGCUCUGAUCUUUAUUAUUUCUUUUCUUCUACUAAUUUGCAGUUGGUUUGCCUUUGCUUUUCUAGUUCUUUAAAGUAAAUCAUUAGUUUAUUUGAAGUUUUUCUACUUUUUUGAUAAUAGUAUAUAGCUAUAAACUUUCCUCUUAGUACUGCUUUUGCUGUAUUCCAUAGGUUUUGGUAUAUUGAGCUUCCAUUAUCAUGUGUUUCAAAAAAAGUUCCAGUUUUCAUCUUAAUUUCUUCAUUGACUCAGUUGUCAUUCAGGAGCAUAUUGUUAAUUUCCAUGUGUUUGUAUAGUUUCAAAAAUUCCUCCUGUUAUUAAUUUCUAGUUGUAUUCCACUAUGGUCUGAGAAGAUACUUUAUAUUAUUAUACUUUACAUUUUUGAAUGUUUUAAGGAAAUGUUAUGUAAAUAUCUAUUAGGUCCAUUUGUUGUAUCAUGCAGAUUAAGUCCAACGUUUCUUUGUGGAAUUUCUGUUUGGAUGAUUCAUUCAGUGCUGAAAGUGGAGUGUUGAGAUGUCCCCAGCUGUUAUCCUAUUGGAGUCCAUCUCUCUUUAGUGCUAAUGUUUGCUUUAGAUAUCUGUUGCUCCAGUGUUGGGUGAUAUGUAUUUAAAAUUAUUAUAUCCUCUUGCUGAAUUGACCUCUUUAUCAUUAUAUAAUGAGCUUUUUUGUCUCUUUUUAUAGUUUUUGUCUUCAAAUCUAUUUUGGCUGAUAUAAGUAUAUCUAUUCCUGCUCUUUUCUGGUUUCCAUUUUCAUGGAAUAUCUUUUUGAAUCCUUUUAUUUUCAGUCUAUGUAUUUCUUUAUAAGUGAAGUAUGUUUCUAGUAGGCAACAGAUUGUUGUGUCUUGUUUUUAUCCAUUCAGCCCUGUAUGUCUUUGGAUUGGAGAUUUUAGUCCUUUUACAUUCAAUGUUACUAUUGUCAAGUAAGGUCUCACUCCUGCCAUUUUAUUGUUUUCUGGUUCCUUUGUGGUCUUCUCUUCCUUCUUUCCUUCCUUCCUGUCUUCCUUUUAGUGAAGGUGAUUUUCUCUAGUGGUAUGUUUUAAUUUCUUGCUUUUUGUUUUUUUGUGUGUCCAUUGUAUGUUUUUUGAUUUGAGAUUACCAUGAGGCUUGCAAAUAACAUCUUAUUACCCAUUAUUUUGAACUUAUGACAACUUAACACUGAUUGCAUAAACAAACAAGCAAGCAAAAAGAAAACUAAUAAAAACUCUACCCUUUAAUUCAGUCUCCCUGCUUUUUAACUUUUUCAUUUCUAUUCAUAUCUUGUUGUAUUAUCUAUGUCUUGAAAAGUUAUUGUAAUUAUUUUUUUUGACUGGAUCAUCUUUUAUUCUUUCUACAUAAGAUAUUAGUAGUUUAUACACCAUAAUUACAGUGCUAUGAUAGUCUGUGUUUUCUGUGUGCUUACUAUUACCAGUUAGUUUUGUACCUUCAAAUGAUUUCUUAUUGCUCAUUAGCAUCCUUUUCUUUCAGAUUGAAGAACUCCAUUUAGCAUUUCCUAUAAGACAGGUCUGGUGUUGAUAAAAUCCCUCAGCUUUGUUUGCCUGUGAAGGUCUUUAUUUCUUCUUCAUCUUUGAAGGAUAUUUAUGCUAGAUAUACUAUUCUAGGGUAGAAAUUUUUUUUCCUUCAGCACUUUAAAUGUGUCAUGCCACUCUCUCCUGGCCUGGAAGGUAACCACUGAAAAGUUUGCUGCCAGACAUAUGGGAGCUCCAUUGUAUGUUAUUCGUUUGUUUUCUCUUGCUACUUUUGGGAUCCUUUCCUUAUCCUUGACCUUCGGGAGUUUGAUUAUUAAAUGCUUUGAGGUAGUUCUUCUUUGGGUUAAUUCUGCUGGGUGUUCUGUAGCCUUCUUGUACUUGGAUAUUGACAUCUUUCUCUAAGUUUGGGUUUGGGAAGUUCUAUGUUAUUAUCCCUGGGUUUGGGAAGUUCUAUGUUAUUAUCCCUUUGAAUAAACUUUUUUUUUCUUUGGCAUAAAAUGCAGAUCCUGCACAACCUUUGAAUAAACUUUCUAUGCCUAUUUCUCUCUCUACCUACUCCCUAAGGCUAAUAACUCUCAGAUUUGCUCUUUUGAGGCUGUUUUCUAGAUCUUGUAGGUGUGCUUCAUUGUUUUUUAUUCUUUUUUCCUUUGUCUCCUCUGAUUGUGUAUUUUCAAAUAGCCUGUCUUCAAAGCUCACUAAUUCUGCUUGAUCAGUUCUGAUGUUAAAUGGCUCUGCUGUCUUCAGUAUGUCAGUUGCAUUUUUGAGCUCCAGAAUUUCUGCUUCAUUUCUUUUACUUAUUUUAGUCUCUGUUAUAUUUAUCUGAUAGGAUUUUGAAUUCCUUCUCUAUGUCUUCUCUGUGUUAUCUUGAAUUUCUUUGAGAUUUCUCAAAACACCUAUUUUGAAUUCUUUUUGAAAGGUCGCAAUAUGUCUGUCUUUGUGGAACAGGGAUUUUUCACUGGUGCCUCAUUUAGUUCAUUUGAUGAGGUCAUGUUUUCCUGGGUGGUCUUGAUGCUUGUGGAUGUUUGUCAGUGUCUGGACAUUGAAGAGUUAGGUAUUUAUUGUAGUCUUUGCAGUCUGGGCUUGUUUGUACUCACGCUUCUUGGGAAGACUUUUCAGUUAUUCAGAAGCACUUGAGUAUUGUGAUCUAAUUUUUUUUCCCACCGCAGCUGUAUCUGGAUUAGGGGGCGUUCCAAGCCCAGUAACACUAUGGGCUCUUGCAGACUCAAAGAGAUACUGCCUUGGUGAUCUUGGGUAAGAUCCGGUAGAAUUAUCUGGAUUGCCAGGCAGAGCCUCUUGUUCUCUUCCCUCACUUUCUCCUAAACAAAUGGAGUCUUUCUCUCUCCACUGAGCUGCCUAGAGCUGCAGGAGGUGUUGCACAAGCUCCUCUGUGGCUACUACCACUGUUACUGCACUGGGUGAGACCUAAAGCCAGCAUAGCACUGGGUCUCGUCCAUGGCCCACGGUAACCACUGCCUGGCUACCACUUGGGUUCACUCAAGGUCCUAGGCCUCUACAGUCAGCAGGUGGCAAAGCCAGCUAGGCUGUAUCCUUCCCUUCAGGGUAGAAAGAUCCCCCUGGUCCUGGGGGCAUUCAGAGAUGCCAUGUAGGAGCCAGAGCCUGGAGCUGGAAACCUUAGGAGUCUACCUGGUACUCUAUUCUACUGUGGCUGAGCUGGCACCCAAGCCACCAGACAAAGUUCUUCCCAUUCUCCCCUUCCCUUUGCACAAGCAUAGGAGUCUCUUCCCAUGGCCACCACCACCCCAGGCAUGCAGCAAGUACUGUCUGGCUACCUGCUGUUAUUCGUUCAAGGCCCAAGGGCUCUUCAGUCAAUUUGGUAAAUGCUGCCAUGCCUGGGACUUUUUCAUCAGGGCACUGGACUUUUCUCUGGCGCAAGGUAGGUCCAGAAAUGCCAUCUAAGAGACAAGGCCUGGAAUCUGGGACCCCUGAGAGCCCACAUGAUGCUCUACCCCACUGUGGCUGAGCUGGUACCUAAGCUGCAAGACAGAGUUCCUUUAUUCUUCUUUCUGCUUUUCUCAAGCAAUAGUCUAUCCUUGUAGCCACCACACCUGGAAAUAUGCUUGGUCACACUUGAAGCUAGUACAGCACUGGGUCUCACCCAAGGCCAACAGCAAGUACUGCCUGGUUACCACUGCAGAUUUUUCAGGGCCCAAGGGUUCUUUAGUCAGCAGGUGAUGAAUCCUGCCAAGACUGGGUCUUUCCCCUCAAGGCAGCAGGUUCCCUUCUGGCCUACGGUAUGUCUAGAAAUGUCAUCCUGGAGCUAGAGCUUGGAAUGGGGGCCUCAGGACUCUGCCUGAUGCCUGUCCUAUUGCUAUUGUGGCUGAGCUUGUAUCCGAGAUGCAAGACAAUGUCCUCUUUAUUAUUCCCUCUCCUUUCCUCAAGCAGAAGGAAGGUGUCUCUUUGGAGCUCUGCUGCCUGGGGUUACGGGAAGGGGUGGUGCAAGCACUCUAAUUGGCUACCCUAGCUGGUGUCUCACUAGGUCACAUGCCCCCCAUGUCCACUGACUCCAAACCCAGCACAGCACCAGGACUUGCCCAGGAAUGGCAGUCCUUAUGGCCUAGACCACCUUUCAGCUCUAUUUAGGACCGCAGAGCACUUUAGCCCGUGGUAUGAGGUCUGCCAGAAUGCAUUCUGAGCACUGGGGUGGGCGAGUCCCCUCUGGCUAGGGCAGGUCCAGAUGAUCCCUUCAUGGGUGCUGCCUGAGUUCUGCCUGGUGGUGGUUUCCACUGUUACAGGGCAGCACUGAGUUCCCAUGCCAGUUUCCACAAUCACUGCACUCUUCCUCCUCCAAGUGCACGGGUUCUGUCUCGGCACCAUUGGGCCACUGCCAGGGAAUGGGGAAGGGGUUGUGUUGGCAAUGCAAGACUAUUUUUCCUACCCUUUUCAGGGCCUCUUUCAGUGAUAUGAAGUUCAAAACACAUACUGUGAUCACUCACAUGGUUUUUGUUUCUCAUGAAAGUACUUUUCUGUAUGGCAAGUUGUUCAAUUUGGUGUUCCUGCAGGAAGAAGGAUUGGUGGAGGCUUCUAUUUGGCCAUCUUGCUCUGCCUCCUCCCCAAUCCAGAUAAUUUAAAUAAUAUCUGACACUUACAGAAUGUUUACAAGAUCUUUGUAUAAAUUGUUCUUUUAUGUCUUUGUUUUCAUUUUGAGUGUUGUUGCAGUAUUUUCAGGUUAAAUAAUAAAGCAGGCAUAUCAAAUUUUAGCCUUAAUCUUAGCUUUGCAUUUAACCUUGUGAACUUGUUGUCGUGGUUUGCACUUCAUGAUGACUUGUGAUUAAAGCAGGCCACAAUGACUGCAUAGAGGAUUAUUCUUACAGCAAAUGGGUUAUAUCAAUAUUUUCAUAUUUUUAUUUUGAAGUUGUAGGUGGGGUCUUAUUUAAAUAUAAAACCCAGAGUUGGUGAGAUUGUAGAGAAACAACUCAGAUCCUGUUGGUGAGAGUGCAAAUUGGUAUAUAAGCUAAAACUCCCAAUACCUACAUGAUAGGAACUCAGUCCUCCUUUCAGUGCCCACAGUAGUAUAUUUACAGUAGGGCUUAUCUCACACACGUAACCGUGCCAGUUCAUGGUACCUUCUCAGUCUCCAGUGUCACCUGUUGUAAAAUCCUUACUGAACAACACUUCUUACUGAUAUAUAAUGUACCAGCAUUUUAUACAUUAAAUUAUAACAUAGUAGCUAAGAGAAUUGUCUGUGUUGGAAUCUUUACUGUACUAGCCAUGUGAUCUUGGUUAAGUUACUUAGCACCUCUGAGCAUCAAUUCCUCAUCUGUAAAAUGAGGAUAAUUGAAUUUAUCUCAUUGGUUGUAAAGAUUAAAUAAGAAAACAUUUAUAAAACAUCAUAGUGCCUGGCUCAUGUUAAUCACUAAAUAAAGGUUUUUACAAUUAUCAAUAUUGUAAAAUAUUUUUACAUUUUCUAAAAGCAAAAUUCUGGAAGUAUGUGCUGUGCACUAAACUGUGUCUACCUCAAAAUUCUGAUGUUGACGCCCUAGUCCCCAGUGUUGACUGUAUUGCAGAUGGGACCUAUAAGGCAAUAAUUAAGGUUAAAUGAGGCUAUAAGUGUGGGGUCCUAAUCUGAUAGGGUUGGUACCAUAUAGGAAGAUGAAGAAACACCAGAGCUCACUCUCUCUCACUCUCCAAGAAAUCGACAAAAUGGGAACAGAGUAUUCACCAGGAGGCAAACUGGGGGGCAAUCAACCAAUCCUUGAUCUUGGAUUUCCCAGCCUCGAGAACUGUGAGAAAAUAGAUUCCUGUUGUUUAAGCCGCACGGUUUAGGGUAUUUUGUUAUGGCAGCCUGAGGUGACUAAAAUAGUAUGUUUAUGCAUUUUUCAAAAGCAAAUAAAUAAUUCUAAUGUAAACUAUUCAGGAUAAACUGUUGUAUUUCAUAAAUUCGCAAAUCUGUCAUUGGCCCUGUUGUAAAAGGCCAUAAUUUGACAAUGUAAGACUCAGGGGGUUCUAGUAAACAUAGUAUCUGACACUUUCAGAAUGUUUAUAAGUAGCAUACAUAAAUUUUUGCUUGAGGUCUUCAUUUUCAUUUUGAGUGUUCUUGCAGUAUUUGCAGAUCAAAUGGUAAAGUGGGUAUAUCAAAUUUUAGGCUUAACCUGGUUACAUUCAUAUAUUUCUCCUUUAUUAACCUGAAGCUCUGGGAAGCUCAUAUGCCUUUCAGAUUUAUAAUCCUCAAGCCCACUGAUACUUUUUUUUUUUUUUUUGAUGGAGUCUUGCUCUGUCACCCAGGCUGGAGUGCAGUGGCGCGAUCUUGGCUCACUGCUAGCUCUGCCUCGCGGGUUCACGCCAUUCUCCUGCCUCAGCCUCCCGAGUAGCUGGGACUACAGGCACCGGCCACCACGCCCGGCUAAUUUUUUGUAUUUUUAGUAGAGACAGGGUUUCCCCGUGUUAGCCAGGAUAGUCUCAAUCUCCUGACCUCGUGAUCUGCCCACCUCGGCCUCCCAAAGUGCUCAUUGAUACUUUUUGGUACAGUAUUCCGUUUAGCUGUCAGCUUGGAAUUCUCAUCAGUUAAAUUAUCUGUCUAGAUGGCAAAUAGUAGGAAUGCUUCCCUGAGUACAUACAAAAUUGAGGUAGGGGCUGUGCUGGGAACUUAAAUGAGCUUUGCCCCUAGAGUUUGGUCUCAGAGGACAGAAAGAAAAAUACCAAGGAGGCUUCUUGCUGAAAAGUACAAUUUAUUUUUGUGACUAUUGUAGCAGUCAGGUUCAGUUACAGAGAAUAGAAUUCAUAGAAAUCAUUCUAUGUGCUCUAUAAUUUAAAGAUAAAAAGAAUUUCUCAACAAGUAUUACAUAUUCUGCUGAAUCAUAGGAGGGCUGAAGAAACAUAGAACUCUGAGAAAAAUUCCUAGAGUCACACUAUAAGAGCAAGCCACCAAAGAAGCUGCUGCCUGUCUCUGAACAAAAAGCUGCCUACAAAAUCAGAAAACUGCAGCUACAGCUGCUGACUCCAGAAUUAUACUGGACAUGCAACAUUUUAAUUUUUUAUUGUCUGUGUCCCUCUACUACAAAGUCAGUUCAAGAAGUCAGGAAUUUUUUUCUUUGUUCACUGUUAUAUACACAGCACUGAGAAUGAAUCUUGACUUGUAGUAGGAAUGAAUACUCACAGUCAUAGGUAGCACUCACCCACUAAACCCAGCUGGGCUGAUAUUGGGUAAACCUUUUAACUAAGUGGAAAGAAUAAACAUGAGUCAUGAGAGAUUUAUUUCUCUGUCUCAUAGUCUGUAAGGUCAGUUGGUAGGCUCAAUUUGCAUUACUACAAGAUUAAAGAAAAGAGGAAAAGUAGAGAACAACAGAGAAAGAAAAGAUAAAUCCUAAGAAUUUACAUUUUCAACAUCAGAAUAGUAGAAGUUCCUGAAAGUUAGAGAAGAGAAAGUGGUUGGAUGAAACUUGCUUAAUAAGAAAAAAAUUUCAGAACUAAAGGGAAACAUGAUUCUGCAAAUGUAGAAGACCUACUGAGUACUGAACAGAAAAAAGAAAAAUAUGUAUAUACAUAGAUAUAUCAUGAAAUUUAAGGAUAGCAAGAAUGAAGAGGAUUCUAAAAGCUUCUAGGAAGAAAGUUCAAGUACUCCAUAAAGGAAUGAGAAUCAGGCUGGCAACAAACUUUUGAGUGAGUGUUAAGAUACAAGAAACCCUAAAAGUUCCUAGGAGAAAUGACUUUAAACUUAGAAUUCCUUUUUUUAAUUUGGUCCACACAGGGUCUCACUUUGUUGCCCAGGCUGCUGUACAAUGGCCCAGUCAUGGCUCACUAAAGCCUUGACCUCCUAGGCUUAAGUGAUCCUCCCUCUCUGCCUUCUGAGUAGCUGGGACUACAGGCGUAAGCCACCAUGCCAGCUAAUUUUUUUUAUUUUUUAUAGAGACAGGGCUGGGUGCGGUGGCUCACACCUGUAAUCCCAGCACUUUGAAAGGCCAAGGCAGGUGGAUCACCUGAGGUCAGGAGUUCGAGACCAGCCUGGCCAACGUGGUGAAACCCCGUCUCUAAUAAAAAUAUAAAAAUUAGCUGAGCAUGGUGGCGGGCACCUGUAAUCCCAGCUACUUGGGAGGCUGAGGCAGGAGAAUCCCUUGAACCCAGGAGACGGAGGUUGCAGUGAGCCGUGAUCACGCCAUUUCACUCUAGCCUGGGAGACACGAACAAAACUCCCCCUAAAAAAAAAAAAUUGGUUAGAGACAGGGUCUCGCUGUGUUGCGGAGGCUGGUCUUGAGCUCUUGGGUUCAAGCCAUCCUCCCUCGUCAGCCUCCCAAAAUAUUGAGAUUUGAGAUUACAGGUGUGAGCCACCACGCCUCCUGAACUUGGAAUUCUAUACCAUGCCAAACUAUUGAUAAAAUAAUGUGGGCAGAAUGAAAAAGAAAAUGAAACCCAAACUUUUGAGAAAGCUUUGCCUCACUAAUAUUCUUUUUUAGGAUGUUUCUUGAGAAUACAGGCCAAGAAAACAAGGGACUUGUUGAAGGAAAUGAAGUGGAUUGGGUCUGUGAAACAGUGGAACAAAUUCAGAAAUGCAGUGAACGCAAGUUCCAGGAUAGUUAUGCAACAGGAAGCCUGUCUAUCCAGAUUGAAAGACUUCAGGACUGUAAGAACUGCCUGUAGAAAAAAAGGAGUUCCUGGAUUUGCUAGUAUUCUGGAAAUGUUGGAAGAAUCUAGUCUAAUGAUGCCAUAAAGGAAGACAAUUCAAGACAAAGUAAAAAGGCAAUUUAUAAUUUAAUUGAGUAGGGUAUAUGACAAAAAGCUGUACCAAAAAACAAAUAGAGACAUAGAAGGUAACUUUCAUGGACAGUGAAUACUGUUUACACAGAUGUAGCAUAAAUAGCCUUUACUGAUUUUCAAAAAUACAGUCCACCUGUAGGCAAAGCAAGAAUUGCUUAACUAUAGUUACAAAACAGGUUGUAAAUGUGAAGCAUGAUAGUGUAAUAAAGGAACCAAAGAUGAAGACAAGGGUAAGGGAUACAAAAUUCUUAUCUGGCAAAGUGAAGAGGGAUUGUUUAUAUUGAAGCAAGAACUGUGAGUUACAUUAUUUAAAGUUGCAAAUGUAAUAAGUGCAAUGCUGACUAGUGAUAUAAUUUAUUAGCUGUUAUGAGUAGGGAAAAUUUGUGGUGGUUUAAUGUAGUUAAAUCUUCAUCUAUCUUGGCAGGAAGUGAGUAUGCAACAUCUAAGAUUGAGACAUCAAAAAUUCACAGCAUGAGCAGAUUGUUUACAGAUGGGGUAACUAAAAACAAUGAGGUAAAUGUGGUUGCCUCUGGGAAAAACACUGGAGGCAUUGGAAAGGGUUGGGUUGGGGGCCUGUUGUUUUUUGCAUUCGCCCCCUUGAGUUCAUUUGUUCUUUCAUCUAACAGACACUUACUGUUUGCCAAACACAUGUAAAUGAAACGACUUUACUGAAGAUUUGAGGACGUGAGAUAUUUUCUGUCACCACAGUGCCAGAUUUAAAAUUGAAUAUUAGAGAAACUUGUUCUUAAAACUUUUUGCUAGGCACUUUAUGCCAACCAUGUUGCUACCCUCUUCUCUCCGUUCCUCUUACAUUCUCAUUCUCUAACAACUUUUUCAGUCGUCUCACACCCAUACACAGUCUUGUUUGUUGGUGUUAUGGGGAACUCACAAAUGGAGCCAUAAAGAAGAAAUAUGACCUCUCCUGUGUUUCACCUCCAGUGGGGUUGACGGGAGGUCCCAGGAUUUCUGUGAAGGGGAUUUGUAGUUUUGGAGUUCCAGAUGGUGACAACUCGAGCAGCAAGCCUGAUGAGCAUAUUGAGCAGACUACUAAGAACAGGAAUGAAAAACAAACAAACGAACAACAACAACAAAAAAAACACCCUUCUCUUUCCCACCUGUACCAGAAUAGUGGCUCUGAACCAUGGCUGCAUAUUAGAAUCACCCAAGGAGCUUUUAAAAACAUCGAUGCCCAGGCACCACCUCUUCCCCUUUUGAUGCUCUUCCUUCCAACUCCCACCACUACCAAAUAAAUUGAAAAUGUAGUGAAGGGACCUCAGUCCCAUGAUUCAAAUCAUUAAUAUAAAAGUCACCUGCAAUUUCUGCACAAUUGAUUGAAUUGGGCAAAACAGAUUAGAGCAUUGAACCACUUUGUCGACGAUUUUCAACCUGAUAUUCUAAGGAAGAGAACUUGCUCAGAAUUUUGCAUUGGCUGUUCCUUCUGCCUGGGACACUUUCCCUUCCUAUAUGCAUAGCUUACUACCUCACCUCCUCAAUGAGACUGACCUGCCCGCCAGGCGCCAAAAUGGCACUCCCAAGCUCACUCUGCUCUACUUUCUUUUUAUCGUAGCACUUAUCAGUGUCUAACGUAGAAUUUGCCCACUUCUUGUACCUAUUGUGUAAUGUUUGUUUCCACCCACUAGAAUGUAAACAAAUAUGAUCAGGUAUUUUUCAUUUCAUUCACUGAUGAAACUUAAGUAUCUAGAACAAUACCGAACAUGACUGAGCACUCAAUAAAUACUCGUUGAAUUUCAGUGGCCUCUCAAAUAGCAUUUAACUCAUUAUCUCCAUAAAAGAUAAGUGUUAACCCAUGUUAUGUAAUAUGUUUGGAAUGUGCUAGCAUUACACGCUUGCAUAAAGUUUUUUGAAGAAUUAUAUACCUCACCAGGCAAAUAUUCUGUACCCCUAUGAAGCCUGCUGGAUAUCUGGGCUGUCAGUCAGAAGAUCUGGGCUAUAAUCUCAUGUUGUCUGUUAAAUAAAUAUGUAAUAUUGAUCAAAGUA